rnacentral:rRNA from 1 species
UAUUGUUAUUUAGUGUUAGAAUAUAAAUAAGAAAAAUAUUUUUGUAUAAAAGAAGUAAGUAGAAAUCUAAAAUUUUGAAUCGAAAACUGAGAUAAAGGCUAGAGUUAAAAGUAUUGUAAAAGAAUAGUGAAAUAAAUGAAAAUUUAAUAAUAAGAAAGCAAAAGUAAAUUUUUGUACCUUGUGUAUCAGGGAAAAUUAAAAUUUUAAAAAUAAUUUUUGAUCCCGAAAAGGAAGAGCUAAAUUAAUAAAAGGUUAUUGUAGCAUAAAUAUCUUUAAUAUUAAUUUAGUGAUGAAAUGUUAAACAUUUCUUUGAUAUCUGGUUUUAGAAAAAUGAAUUUAAUUCAGUUUAAUAUUUAAAGAAAAUUAAAUGUAAGAAUAGGAGGUCGAGCUUCUUAUUCAAAAUAUAAAAAGGUAUAGGAGAAAUUUAUUUAAUAGUUGAAUUAGGCUUAGAAGUAGCCAUAUGAAUAAAGUGUUUUAACUAAUUUUUAAAUUAAAGUUAUUUAUAUUCUUCUUGUAGUUGUAUCUAAAAAUGUUGAUAAUCUUUGUAUCUAUAGAUAAAAUGAUUUUUAUUAGUAGAAAAUUUUGUAAAUAGUAAAAUAUUAAAAAUUAAUAAAUUUUAAAUAUUGGCUGAUGUGGGUUAAGGAACUCGGCAAAUAAAGCUUCUGCCUGUUUAUCAAAAACAUGUCUAUAUGAUGGUUUAUAAAGUCUAACCUGCCCACUGGGAUCAAACUAAAGGGCCGCGGUAUUUUAACCGUGCGAAGGUAGCAUAGUCAUUAGUCUCUUAAUUGGAGGCUUGUAUGAAUGGUUGGACAAGAAGCAAACUGUCUCAAAUACAAUAAUUGAAUUUGACUUUUAAGUGAAAAGGCUUAAAUAUUUUAAAGGGACGAUAAGACCCUAUAAAGCUUAAUAAUUUAGUAUAUAAUUAGAUGAGUUAAAAGUUUAAUAUUAUUUAUAUACUGAAUUAUUUCGUUGGGGCGACGAUGAUAUAAUUUGUAACUGUUUAAAUCUAAAAUACAGAGAUAUUUGUGUGUAAUGAUCCUUGUUGUUGAUUAAAAAUUUAAGUUACUUUAGGGAUAACAGCGUUAUUUAUUUUGAGAGUUCAUAUCGACAAAAAAGUUUGCGACCUCGAUGUUGAAUUAAAAAUUCGCCAUGGCGUAGGAGUUGUGGAGGUAGGUCUGUUCGACCUUUAAAUUUUUACAUGAUUUGAGUUCAAACCGGCGUGAGCCAGGUUGGUUUCUAUCUUUUAAGAAGGCAGAAAUUACUUUAGUACGAAAGGAUUUAGUAAUUAAAAUAAUUUUUAAGUAUAGAUUAACUAU